UGGGGAAUAUUGGGCAAUGGGCGAAAGCCUGACCCAGCAACGCCGCGUGAGAGAAGAAGGCCUUCGGGUUGUAAAACUCUGUCGCAGGGGACGAAGGAAGUGACGGUACCCUGUGAGGAAGCCCCGGCUAACUACGUGCCAGCAGCCGCGGUAAUACGUAGGGGGCGAGCGUUGUCCGGAAUUACUGGGCGUAAAGGGAGCGUAGGCGGUAAAUUAAGUUGGAUGUGAAAUACCCGGGCUUAACCUGGGGGGUGCAUUCAAAACUGGUUUACUAGAGUGCAGGAGAGGGAAGCGGAAUUCCUAGUGUAGCGGUGAAAUGCGUAGAUAUUAGGAGGAACACCAGUGGCGAAGGCGGCUUUCUGGACUGUAACUGACGCUGAGGCUCGAAAGCGUGGGGAGCAAACAGGAUUAGAUACCCUGGUAGU
rnacentral:rRNA from 1 species